CCCUUAGAUGUUCUGGGCCGCACGCGCGCUACACUGACGGAUUCAACGAGCUUACAACCUUGACCGACAGGUCCGGGUAAUCUUUGAAUCUGCAUCGUGACGGGGAUAGAUUAUUGCAAUUAUUAAUCUUCAACGAGGAAUGCCUAGUAGGCGCAAGUCAUCAGCUUGCGUCGAUUACGUCCCUGCCCUUUGUACACACCGCCCGUCGCUCCUACCGAUUGGGUGUGCUGGUGAAAUGUUCGGAUCGGCCGUUUGUCGCGGUUUCCGCGGCUCGUGGCUGAGAAGUUCAUUAAACCCUCCCACCUAGAGGAAGGAGAAGUCGUAACA
rnacentral:rRNA from 1 species